GACGAACGCUGGCGGCGUGCUUAACACAUGCAAGUCGAACGGAAAGGCCCUGCUUUUGUGGGGUGCUCGAGUGGCGAACGGGUGAGUAACACGUGAGUAAACUGCCCUUGACUUUGGGAUAACUUCAGGAAACUGGGGCUAAUACCGGAUAGGAGCCCCUGCUGCACGGUGGGGGUUGGAAAGUUUCGGCGGUUGGGGAUGGACUCGCGGCUUAUCAGCUUGUUGGUGGGGUAGUGGCUUACCAAGGCUUUGACGGGUAGCCGGCCUGAGAGGGUGACCGGCCACAUUGGGACUGAGAUACGGCCCAGACUCCUACGGGAGGCAGCAGUGGGGAAUAUUGCACGAUGGGCGGAAGCCUGAUGCAGCAACGCCGCGUGCGGGAUGACGGCCUUCGGGUUGUAAACCGCUUUCGCCUGUGACGAAGCGUGAGUGACGGUAAUGGGUAAAGAAGCACCGGCUAACUACGUG
rnacentral:rRNA from 1 species